AUGGACAUCUUGGAUGACAUGGGGGUGAGUAAAUUAUCAGCAAAUGUUUAUUUAAAAGUGAACUAAUCCUUUAACUUUAAAGAAGGUUUGUAAUUUCAUAUAUGCAGUGGUUUUUACUUGCAAUCCUCUUAAAGCAUCUAUUUUCACAGCUUGACAUGAUAUUUGAUUUUCUUUGUGUUUUAUUGUGUUAUGCUGUGCUUUUAUUGUGUCUCUUUUGUUUGCUCCUCAGGCGGUGUACUACCUCAUUUGUAUGCUUUGACAUUGCUCUCCAAAACACAUUAAAGGUCAGUUUUACCAUAACGCUGUGCUAACCUGGCUGAAACUGAUAGGUCCCUGGUAACGAAGGGCUUUCUGGGGAACAGGCUCUUCACAAAGAUAAGCGCCCCACCGCUGGAACCAUCACUCUUUCACUGGAGGGAAAUUCUACAGGGAAAUGCCUUAUAUUGGACAAAACAAGGAGAAUACUGAAUCCAGGAAGGAACAUACACCACAGAAGUACAAAUAUUAAACGUUAAAGCGGAACUCAGUAAGAUUUGCGAAGCUCCCCCUACAGGUUACUUCAGUGAAUCACACUGUCGUAAAUACUCCAAGCGCAGCUCUGGACUACAACGACUACAAC